UACGGAGGGUGCAAGCGUUGUUCGGAUUUAUUGGGCGUAAAGAGCUCGUAGGCGGCUUGUCGCGUCGACUGUGAAAACCCGUGGCUCAACCAUGUGGUCUGCAGUCGAUACGGGCAGGCUAGAAUUCGGUAGGGGAGACUGGAAUUCCUGGUGUAGCGGUGAAAUGCGCAGAUAUCAGGAGGAACACCGGUGGCGAAGGCGGGCUCUCGGCGGACGA
rnacentral:rRNA from 1 species